UACGUAGGGGCGAGCGUUACCCGGAUUUACUGGGCGUAAAGCGCGUGUAGGCGGCUGGUCAAGCGUGGUGUGAAAUCUCCGGGCUCAACCCGGAAACUGCAUUGCGAACUGACCUAGCUGGAGUGCAGGAGAGGGCAGCGGAAUUCCCGGUGUAGCGGUGAAAUGCGUAGAUAUCAGGAGGAACACCAAUGGCGAAGGCAGCUCACUGGGACGGUAUUGACGCUGAGACGCGAAAAGCGUGGGGGGAGCAAACAGG
rnacentral:rRNA from 1 species